GGGAGGCAGCAGUGGGGAAUAUUGCACAAUGGGCGCAAGCCUGAUGCAGCCAUGCCGCGUGUGUGAAGAAGGCCUUCGGGUUGUAAAGCACUUUCAGUCGUGAGGAAGGUGGUAGUGUUAAUAGCACUAUCAUUUGACGUUAGCGACAGAAGAAGCACCGGCUAACUCCGUGCCAGCAGCCGCGGUAAUACGGAGGGUGCGAGCGUUAAUCGGAAUUACUGGGCGUAAAGCGCAUGCAGGUGGUUUGUUAAGUCAGAUGUGAAAGCCCGGGGCUCAACCUCGGAAUAGCAUUUGAAACUGGCAGACUAGAGUACUGUAGAGGGGGGUAGAAUUUCAGGUGUAGCGGUGAAAUGCGUAGAGAUCUGAAGGAAUACCGGUGGCGAAGGCGGCCCCCUGGACAGAUACUGACACUCAGAUGCGAAAGCGUGGGGAGCAAACAGGAUUAGAUACCCUGGUAGUCCACGCCGUAAACGAUGUCUACUUGGAGGUUGUGGCCUUGAGCCGUGGCUUUCGGAGCUAACGCGUUAAGUAGACCGCCUGGGGAGUACGGUCGCAAGAUUAAAACUCAAAUGAAUUGACGGGGGCCCGCACAAGCGGUGGAGCAUGUGGUUUAAUUCGAUGCAACGCGAAGAACCUUACCUACUCUUGACAUCCAGAGAACUUUCCAGAGAUGGAUUGGUGCCUUCGGGAACUCUGAGACAGGUGCUGCAUGGCUGUCGUCAGCUCGUGUUGUGAAAUGUUGGGUUAAGUCCCGCAACGAGCGCAACCCUUAUCCUUGUUUGCCAGCGAGUAAUGUCGGGAACUCCAGGGAGACUGCCGGUGAUAAACCGGAGGAAGGUGGGGACGACGUCAAGUCAUCAUGGCCCUUACGAGUAGGGCUACACACGUGCUACAAUGGCGCAUACAGAGGGCAGCAAGCUAGCGAUAGUGAGCGAAUCCCAAAAAGUGCGUCGUAGUCCGGAUUGGAGUCUGCAACUCGACUCCAUGAAGUCGGAAUCGCUAGUAAUCGUGGAUCAGAAUGCCACGGUGAAUACGUUCCCGGGCCUUGUACACACCGCCCGUCACACCAUGGGAGUGGGCUGCAAAAGAAGUAGGUAGUUUAACCUUCGGGAGGACGCU
rnacentral:rRNA from 1 species